CUAGCGAGACUGCCGGUAAUAAACCGGAAGGAAGGUGGGGAGUGACGUCAAAUCAUCAUGCCCCUUACUGACCUGGGCUACACACGUGCUACAAUGGUUGGUACAACGAGUUGCGAGUCGGUGACGGCGAGCUAAUCUCUUAAAGCCAAUCUCAGUUCGGAUUGUAGGCUGCAACUCGCCUACAUGAAGUCGGAAUCGCUAGUAAUCGCGGAUCAGCACGCCGCGGUCGAAUACGUUCCCGGGCCUU
rnacentral:rRNA from 1 species